rnacentral:rRNA from 1 species
UCAAACUUGAGAGUUUGAUCCUGGCUCAGAACGAACGCUGGCGGCAGGCCUAACACAUGCAAGUCGAACGCUGUAGCAAUACAGAGUGGCAGACGGGUGAGUAACGCGUGGGAACGUGCCCUUCGGUUCGGAAUAACUCAGGGAAACUUGAGCUAAUACCGGAUACGCCCUUUGGGGGAAAGAUUUAUUGCCGAAGGAUCGGCCCGCGUCCGAUUAGCUAGUUGGUGAGGUAAUGGCUCACCAAGGCGACGAUCGGUAGCUGGUCUGAGAGGAUGAUCAGCCACACUGGGACUGAGACACGGCCCAGACUCCUACGGGAGGCAGCAGUGGGGAAUAUUGGACAAUGGGCGCAAGCCUGAUCCAGCCAUGCCGCGUG